rnacentral:rRNA from 1 species
CCAAACCAGUGGCGUCGCAAGGCGUGGCUGGGGUUGUAGGACCGCGACAUUGUAUGCAAAUCGUGAACAGAACACUUUGGAAAAUGUGACCAUAGACGGUGAUAGUCCAGUAUGUGAAGCGAAAUGCAGCAUAGCGGUAUCCUGAGUAACGCGGGACACGGGGAAUCCUGCGCGAAUCUGCCGGGACCAUCCGGUAAGGCUAAAUACUCCCGUGAGACCGAUAGCGAACGAGUACUGUGAAGGAAAGGUGAAAAGAACCCCGAGCAGGGGAGUGAAAUAGUUCCUGAAACCAUACGCCUACAAGCGGUCGGAGCAUCUUACGAUGUGACGGCGUGCCUUUUGCAUAAUGAUCCUACGAGUUACCGUCACUGGCGAGGUUGAGUGUCAUGAGACACGUAGCCGCAGUGAAAGCGAGCCUGAAUAGGGCGCACAGUCAGUGGGGGUAGACGCGAAACCAAGUGAUCUACACUUGGCCAGGAUGAAGUCCCGGUAACACGGGAUGGAGGUCCGCACCAAUAAGCGUUGAAAAGCUUCUGGAUGAGCCGAGUGUAGGAGUGAAAGGCCAAUCAAACUUGGAGAUAGCUCGUACUCCCCGAAAGGCAUUUAGGUGCCGCGUCGGAUGGUCACCGUGAGAGGUAGAGCGACCGAUAGGACAAGAGGGCUUCACCGCCUAUCGAGUCCUGACGAACUCCGAAUGCUCACGGUCUGCAGUCCGGCAGUAAGGGGGCGGGUGCUAAGGUCCGUCCCCGAGAGGAGAAGAAUCCAGACCGCCGUCUAAGGUCCCGGAGUUCUGCCUGAGUUAGUCUAACGAAGUCUGGUCCCUAUGACAGCUAGGAUGUUGGCUUGGAAGCAGCCAUUCAUUCAAAGAGUGCGUAACAGCUCACUAGUCGAGGGUCCGGGCAUGGAUAAUAAUCGGGUAUAAGGCAGACACCGAAGGCGCGGGAUAGCAUUUAAGAAAGUAUCGGUAGGGGAGCAUACUCACAGCGUUGAAUGGUGUACGUAAGUUAUCCUGGAGCGGUGAGUAAAGCAAAUGUAGGAAUAAGUAACGAUAAGGAGGGUUAGAUUCCCUCCCGCUGUAAGACCAAGGUUUCCCGGGCAAUGCCAAUCAGCCCGGGGUCAGUCGGGUCCUAAGUCUAAGCCGAACGGCGAUGGCGAUGGCAGAGACGGUUAAUAUUCCGUCACUGCCGCAUGGGGCGACGUGGAGACGGAGCAGUGAAACCACCGCGGGGCGACGGAAGUCCCCGUUGAAGAGUGUAGGUGUUGAGGAUGGCAGGCAAAUCCACCGUCCGAGCUGAACUUGAUAGUAUGGAGUCUUCUUCGGAAGAAUCCAAUAGUGUGGGUAAUCAUACUCCCGAGAAAAUCCGCUAAGCUUAACCCAUGCGGCACCCGUACCGCAAACGGACACACGUGGUCGGGUAGAACAUACUAAGGCGUUGAGAGAUUCAUGGUUAAGGAACUAGGCAAAUUGACCCUGUAACUUCGGGAUAAAGGGUCCUCGUGAAGAGCGAGGCGCAGAGAAUAGGUCCAGGCAACUGUUUAACAAAAACACAGGGCUGUGCAAACUCGAAAGAUGACGUAUACAGCCUGACACCUGCCCGGUGCCGGAAGGUUAAGAGGAGAUGUCACUCUUUGGGAGGAAGCAUUGAAUUGAAGCCCCGGUAAACGGCGGCCGUAACUAUAACGGUCCUAAGGUAGCGAAAUUCCUUGUCGGGUAAGUUCCGACCUGCACGAAUGGUGUAAUGAUCCGGACGCUGUCUCAACCAUGAGCUCAGUGAAAUUGUAGUAUCGGUGAAGAUGCCGAUUACCCGCGAUGGGACGAAAAGACCCCGUGAACCUUUACUACAGCUUAGCAUUGACCUUGGUCAUCCGAUGUGUAGGAUAGGCCGGAGGCUUCGAAGCGGGAGCGCCAGCUUUCGUGGAGCCAUCCUUGAAAUACGGCCCUUUGGCUG